ACACUCGCUAACAUUAGCUAAUAAUAGCUAACAUUAGCUAACACUCGCUAACAUUAGCUAAUAAUAGCUAACAUUAGCUAACACUAGCUAACAGUAGCUAACAGACACAAACAGCUGCAGGAAUCUUAUUAAAUCACACAGUGAAUAAUGAAGCUGUCAGAAGCUCAUUGAUGGACGUUUCUGUCCAUCCUGGUCUCUGAUGCCCAUUGGCAUCAUAACUAGGAAGCUUUGGUCUUAUUUACAUUUUUAUUUCUUCAUCUUCAAACUGUUUAGAUUUAAACUUGUUAAAUGAGUUGUAGGCUGGCUUCUCUUCCUCGUGAUACAGAACGGAGCUGCUUCCCACUGGAUCAGGAACUGUCCAUCAACAGCAUUACAGCGGGGUUACCUGAGGACAGAUCUGUCGGUGAAAACAUAGAAAUAGCAGAUCAGUUACUGAACCAUUUCAACAACCAUCAACCAAUAUAUCUGUGUGAUAAUAGAUUAUUUCUCAAAGUGGCCACAAACCUACCCAAUUAAAUCCAAACAGGCUGAUGAGGUUGCUGAGCAGAUACUUAAAUUUGUGUAUCAGUUUGAGGCACCAAAGAGAACCCUCACCAACCAAGGCAGCACAUUUCUUAAUGAGAUAAAUAGGAGCGUUUGUGCCAAACUAGGAGUUCAGAGAAGCCUUUGUGCUCCUUAUCAUUCCCAGACUAAUGGUCUGGUAGAAAGAAUGAAUGGAACCAUUCAAAAGGCCCUCUGCAAACUGCUUGAACAAAGACCAGAGAGAUGGGAUGAAUAUUUGGAUCCAAUCAUGUUCGCAAUGCGAACCAAAAAACAAAAAACAACCAAAUAUUCUCCGUACUUUCUAAUGUUUGGCAGGGGAACAUGUUAUCCUCCUCGGGCUGCACAUGAAUUAGAACGUCUGCUUAUUUAUUUUAAGAUGUUGAUGAGGUGUGGUCGAGAAAACUACAAAAUUCCCACUUGAUCCUCUCAAAGAUUGGUGCUUAUAAAUUAUUUACCUGGGACAUUUCAAGGCUUGCUCCCAGCCAAGAACUGGAGAGUGAGAUUGACCCAUUGAAGUACGAGAUAAUAAUGUGAAUUUUUAAUGAAGAUCACCACUGGAUGUUAACGGUCAUUUAUCCAUCAGAAAAAAAAUCUCUGUUUCUGGAUCCUCUGGGAGAAUCACAAGUGAAGACAAAAAGAUGUCUAGAAACAACAAAGGCAUUCAUGCAGAAGAGAGGCUGCAAUGUGUCAAGGUGGGUAUGUGGCACUUUACCACACGGAACCCAGAGAGAUGGGGUGUCAUGUGGUGUUUUUGUCUUAAAGGUGAGUAAUUACUUUUAUUGCAAAAAUUUAAAACAUCACUAGAUGAAGUUAUUAAGUCCCCUGUUUUUGCCAUGUUUGUAUGUUUGGUAUUUUCACUGUAAUCAAACACUUAUACUUUUAUACCAACUUACUCACCCAUCUGUCCUCAGUUUGCUGAGUCUAUCCAUCCAUCCAUCCAUUCUCUUCCGCUUAUCCGGAGUCGGGUCGCGGGGGCAGCUGCCUAAGCAGGGAAACCCAGACUUCCCUCUCCCCGGCCACA